GCGGAAGUGGCGGAACUGGCAGACGCACUAGCUUCAGGAGCUAGCGAGCGCAAGCUCUUGAGAGUUCAAAUCUCUUCUUCCGCA
rnacentral:tRNA from 1 species